GGCACGGUGGCGCAGUGGUUAGCAUUUUCCGCCUUACAGCAAGAAGGUCAUGGGUUCAAAUCCGGCCUGGGGCC